rnacentral:rRNA from 1 species
UACGUAGGUGGCAAGCGUUGUCCGGAAUUAUUGGGCGUAAAGCGCGCGCAGGCGGUCCUUUAAGUCUGAUGUGAAAGCCCACGGCUCAACCGUGGAGGGUCAUUGGAAACUGGGGGACUUGAGUGCAGAAGAGGAGAGUGGAAUUCCACGUGUAGCGGUGAAAUGCGUAGAGAUGUGGAGGAACACCAGUGGCGAAGGCGGGUCUCUGGGCAGUAACUGACGCUGAGGAGCGAAAGCGUGGGGAGCGAACAGG